rnacentral:rRNA from 1 species
GAUGAACGCUAGCUACAGGCUUAACACAUGCAAGUCGAGGGGAAACGACAUUGCAGCUUGCUUCGAUGGUCGUCGACCGGCGCACGGGUGAGUAACGCGUAUCCAACCUGCCUCUGACCAAGGGAUAACCCGUCGAAAGUCGGCCUAAUACCUUAUGCAGUCGUCGGAAGUCAUCUGAUGACGACGAAAGAUUUCAUCGGUGAGAGAUGGGGAUGCGUCUGAUUAGCUUGUUGGCGGGGUAACGGCCCACCAAGGCAACGAUCAGUAGGGGUUCUGAGAGGAAGGUCCCCCACAUUGGAACUGAGACACGGUCCAAACUCCUACGGGAGGCAGCAGUGAGGAAUAUUGGUCAAUGGGCGAGAGCCUGAACCAGCCAAGUAGCGUGCAGGAUGACGGCCCUAUGGGUUGUAAACUGCUUUUAUGCGGGGAUAAAGUGAGGGACGUGUCCUUCAUUGCAGGUACCGCAUGAAUAAGGACCGGCUAAUUCCGUG